GACGAACGCUGGCGGCGUGCCUAAUACAUGCAAGUAGAACGCUGAAGGAGGAGCUUGCUCUUCUGGAUGAGUUGCGAACGGGUGAGUAACGCGUAGGUAACCUGCCUGGUAGCGGGGGAUAACUAUUGGAAACGAUAGCUAAUACCGCAUAAUAUUGAUUAUUGCAUGAUAGUCAAUUAAAAGGUGCAAUUGCAUCACUACCAGAUGGACCUGCGUUGUAUUAGCUAGUUGGUGAGGUAACGGCUCACCAAGGCGACGAUACAUAGCCGACCUGAGAGGGUGAUCGGCCACACUGGGACUGAGACACGGCCCAGACUCCUACGGGAGGCAGCAGUAGGGAAUCUUCGGCAAUGGACGGAAGUCUGACCGAGCAACGCCGCGUGAGUGAAGAAGGUUUUCGGAUCGUAAAGCUCUGUUGUAAGAGAAGAACGAGUGUGAGAGUGGAAAGUUCACACUGUGACGGUAUCUUACCAGAAAGGGACGGCUAACUACGUGCCAGCAGCCGCGGUAAUACGUAGGUCCCGAGCGUUGUCCGGAUUUAUUGGGCGUAAAGCGAGCGCAGGCGGUUAGAUAAGUCUGAAGUUAAAGGCUGUGGCUUAACCAUAGUACGCUUUGGAAACUGUUUAACUUGAGUGCAAGAGGGGAGAGUGGAAUUCCAUGUGUAGCGGUGAAAUGCGUAGAUAUAUGGAGGAACACCGGUGGCGAAAGCGGCUCUCUGGCUUGUAACUGACGCUGAGGCUCGAAAGCGUGGGGGAGCAAACAGG
rnacentral:rRNA from 1 species